CAUUCCCCUACCGUUUAUAACCCCUGAGUCUGGGGGUAAUGGCACGGGGACCCAACAGCUUGUCUGCCGCCAUCUGGGAGAAACACAGAGGAGAGACCCAGAGAGGAGGAGAAGGCCGCAUGAAGAUGGAGCAGAGACUGGAGCUAUUCAGCCAAGUCAAGGAAUGCCUGGAGCCACCAGAAGCCGGAAGAGGCAAGGAAGGAUCCUCCCUUAGAGCAUUUGGAAGAGUGUGGCCCUGCCAACACCUUGAUUUCAAACUUCUGGCCUCCAUAACUAUGAAAUAAAUUCUUGUUGUUUUAAGCCACC
rnacentral:lncRNA from 1 species